AUAAUUGUCAUCUCCUCCAAGGCUCCAACCUAGAUUUCCAAAAUGUGGGUAAAACCACAUUCUCCUUCACCGACUUGCCCAAGCUGCCGGUGUACACAAUCCACCGUUGAUCCCCCUUCCGGUGAUGGUCCUUCUUCCUCCAUAACAAUACACUUAACAGGACUGAUGAAAGAGAUUAUAACUUUGGAUUGCGAGGUUUUUGCGGGGAAACAUACUUUGCCAACCAUGUAGCAGAUCAAGUAGUAGAAGAGGAGGGUCACUUGGCUUUGGGCGAGGAGCAUAUCUUGAACUGGAUCGACAUGGAGGAGCACGCUUGCAGUCGUUGUUGAAGGAGCAGAUUUGUAUCGCGGUGUUUGCUGAUUUGCAUUUGGAUUGGCUUCAGGUGAGGAACAGAUCUGGAUAUGGAUCGAUCGAUGAUCAUGUGUUUCUUGCAAAUAAAAUUGUUCUGAAGCUAUUUGAAAACUGUUUUUUAUUUUUAUUUUUAUUGAUUUCCAGGGUCUUGAUGCUUGUUCUGAAGAUUUUGUAAGGUGGUGUGCAAAGGAGAUGCUGAAGGGUAUCGUGUUAUUCUGAAUUGGGGUUCCUUUUACUGAAGUAGUAUGCUGCAACAUCACAAUGGGUUUAAUCAAUUUGGAAAUUUUGCUUUAAGGUGCAUUUUAAAUUCAAACUGUUGGUAGCUAGGAUUAUAGGAUUUUUACGGAUUACUCUCUAUAGAGGCUCGGGACAUUUCAAAUUCCUAUUAAUAUUGGAUUCAUAAAGCGGGUCUUAAAAGUUUCAUGCAUUCAAGAAAUGUUUGUGUUUUUUGGUAUGAGAUUUACUUUUUAUAUGUAUGGUAUCAGAAUAUGGUGUGGAAAUGGUUUGUAUUUUCUUUA